GAUCAUUCGAAUCUUUGAACGCACCUUGCGCCCUUUGGCCAUUCCGAAGGGCAUGCCUGUUUGAGUAUCAUG
rnacentral:rRNA from 1 species